rnacentral:rRNA from 1 species
UGGGGAAUAUUGCUCAAUGGGCGAAAGCCUGAAGCAGCGACGCCGCGUGGGUGACGAAGUCUUUCGGGAUGUAAAGCCCUUUCGGUGGGAACGAUAAUGACGGUACCCACAAAAGAAGGCCCGGCUAACUACGUGCCAGCAGCCGCGGUAAUACGUAGGGGCCUAGCGUUGUCCGGAUUUACUGGGCGUAAAGCGCAUGUAGGCGGCUAGCCAAGUCAGGUGUUAAAUCUAGAGGCUUAACCUCUAAUCGCGCUUGAUACUAGCUUGCUUGAGUAUGGGAGAGGGAAGCGGAACUCACGGUGUAGCGGUGAAAUGCGUAGAUAUCGUGAGGAACACCAGUGGCGAAGGCGGCUUCCUGGACCAUUACUGACGCUGAGAUGCGAAAGCGUAGGGAGCAAACGGG